UUGAAAGGGAAACGAUUGAAGUCAGUCGUACCUAUGGGUAAUCAGCCUUUUGGGUGUGAUUUUGUGGAGCGUGAGGAGUUAAACGCCUUCAUGCCUGCAUAUUCGUGCACUUUGGGUGUACUUGCCCGUGUGUAAGUUAACAUCAAUUUUGGUGGUCAUAAAAUGGCUGGAGGAAUGUAGCUUCGAUCUUGUAUUGAAGUGUUAUAGCCUUCGGUAGAUGUGACGAUCGGGAUUGAGGAUUGCAACGGAUACCCUUCGGGGCUACCUGUCUGAUCUCUGAUUGUUGCUCUGGUGCCGAAAGCUUGCUUACGGUUAUUAAAGUCGAUGGUCAAUAGGUUAGAAUGGGUUAAAUUCGUUAAG
rnacentral:rRNA from 1 species